ACUCCUACGGGAGGCAGCAGUGGGGAAUAUUGCACAAUGGGCGCAAGCCUGAUGCAGCAACGCCGCGUGAGGGAUGACGGCCUUCGGGUUGUAAACCUCUUUUAGCAGGGAAGAAGCGAAAGUGACGGUACCUGCAGAAAAGCGCCGGCUAACUACGUGCCAGCAGCCGCGGUAAUACGUAGGGCGCAAGCGUUAUCCGGAAUUAUUGGGCGUAAAGAGCUCGUAGGCGGUUUGUCGCGUCUGCUGUGAAAUCCCGAGGCUCAACCUCGGGUCUGCAGUGGGUACGGGCGACUAGAGUGCGGUAGGGGAGAUUGGAAUUCCUGGUGGUAGCGGGUGGAAAUGCGCAGAUAUCAGGAGGAACACCGAUGGCGAAGGCAGAUCUCUGGGCCGUAACUGACGCUGAGGAGCGAAA
rnacentral:rRNA from 1 species